UACGUAGGGGGCUAGCGUUGUCCGGAAUCAUUGGGCGUAAAGCGCGUGUAGGCGGUCCGGUAAGUCCGCUGUGAAAGUCGGGGGCUCAACCUCGGAUGCCGGUGGAUACUGUCGGGCUUGAGUACGGAAGAGGCGAGUGGAAUCCUGGUGUAGCGGUGAAAUGCGCAGAUAUCAGGAAGAACACCCGUGGCGAAGGCGGCUCUCUGGGACGGUACUGACGCUGAGACGCGAA
rnacentral:rRNA from 1 species